GCGGCGGACGGGUGAGUAACACGUAGGCAACCUGCCCUCAAGCUUGGGACAACUACCGGAAACGGUAGCUAAUACCGAAUACUUGCUUCCUUCGCCUGAAGGAAGCUGGAAAGACGGAGCAAUCUGUCACUUGAGGAUGGGCCUGCGGCGCAUUAGCUAGUUGGUGAGGUAACGGCUCACCAAGGCGACGAUGCGUAGCCGACCUGAGAGGGUGAUCGGCCACACUGGGACUGAGACACGGCCCAGACUCCUACGGGAGGCAGCAGUAGGGAAUCUUCCGCAAUGGGCGAAAGCCUGACGGAGCAAUGCCGCGUGAGUGAUGAAGGUUUUCGGAUCGUAAAGCUCUGUUGCCAGGGAAGAACGUCCUUGAGAGUAACUGCUCAAGGAGUGACGGUACCUGAGAAGAAAGCCCCGGCUAACUACGUGCCAGCAGCCGCGGUAAUACGUAGGGGGCAAGCGUUGUCCGGAAUUAUUGGGCGUAAAGCGCGCGCAGGCGGUCAUUUAAGUCUGGUGUUUAAUCCCGGGGCUCAACCCCGGAUCGCACUGGAAACUGGAUGACUUGAGUGCAGAAGAGGAGAGUGGAAUUCCACGUGUAGCGGUGAAAUGCGUAGAGAUGUGGAGGAACACCAGUGGCGAAGGCGACUCUCUGGGGCUGUAACUGACGCUG
rnacentral:rRNA from 1 species